UUAAAGCUUAUCAACAUAAAAUAUAUAUUAAACAGUAUUUGUCCUAGAAGAAUCAAGAAAAAAAUCUGCAGGCAACUAAAGCAUUUAUAUAUGAUAACUGAUUUAAAUCCAUAAUUUUCUGUCUUUUUUGCUUCAAAUUACCUCCCUUUGGUAUAGCUCUCUAACAUAGGAGGAAUAAACGGUAGUUUGCUUACGUUGUUUUCAAUAACAGUGUACAGAAGACUAGAAGAAAAUUACAAACUUGGAGCAGUCUGAGCCUCAGUUUUGGCGUUUUCAUGAGUCUUAAUUACGAAUGAAAUUCGCCACUUUGAAGCCAAACUCGGAAAGAAGCAGAAACAGAAUUGGAUGAGCUGAUAUAGAAUUAGACAGGAAAAACGUAUUAUCAUUAUGAGAAUACAUCAUUACAGUACAGACCAUUGAUGCUGGAAGUGAGUGGAUAGUGUUACCGGAGACUCAGGGAUCCAGAAAAUAGAUCCAUAAAUUGUACAGUGUAUUCAUGAAAGUGGAUCAAAUAAAAAUGUUCAAUCCAAAAGUAACAUUCUUUGUUUGUCUGUUAGCAUUUUUUUAUUGAUGUAAAUCUAACAAGCUAAUUCAGAGAAUUUGUGUCCCCCGCUUAGGGAAAAAGUAAACCAUGCGCAGUUCGGGGCGGGGGUGGGGGUGGGGGGUCGGAUCCCCCUAAUUGAAUUUGUAGAAUUUUUAAAUGUAUACAUGUAUACUGAAGCAAAUAAAAUAUGUCAAUAUUGAUAUAAUGAUUUGAUUAUGUGUAUAGAAGGUUCAUUUUAUGUGGAUUAUUUAUCAUAACGUAAUGAUGAUUUUAUGAGUUUGUACAAGCUAGACCUCAUAAUUUUUUUUUCAUUUCACAUGCUGAAUACUAUCAUUUAGUAAAAAAAAAAGAA